rnacentral:lncRNA from 1 species
UUUUUUUUUUUUUUUUUGUUAUUAAUUAUUUGUGAAUUUAUACUUUUUUAAAAAGAAUUAAUCAUGGCCUUAAUAUGUAUCGGUUCUAUUUGCUUUUCUGUGUUCCAAGUAGUUGUUUUACUUUUACUUUGUAUUAAUUUUUUUUACUCUCAUAUUAAAAAAUUUAUUCCUCAACGAUUUUUAAAAAAUAAUGAUAUAAAAAGACAAAUAACUAACAUUUUAGAAUCGAAAAAGAAAAACAAACAGUAUGAGGAAAGUCAAUAUAUAAAACUACCCCAAAAAAAAACUUUAAAAGACAUAUUUGACUUAACAGAAACACAAUCUAUUGUUUGUAAAUUUGGGAGUACACGUUGUAAACCAUGUAAUGCUAUUCAUGAAUAUUUUAAGAAUCAAAAAAGUAUUUACGUUGUUACACUAGUUGACAUCGAUGUAGAUAUUCAUGAGUCGUUAGCGAAAGAAUACAACAUAAGAGCUUUACCUACGUUUGAGUUUUACUUUUUAUUAAAUAAUGAAUGGGUUAUGGCAGAACGGGUAAUAAAUUACUUUUUUUUGAGCAAAAAAAAAAAAAAAAAAAAAUGGGCAAUAUAUAUAUAU